rnacentral:rRNA from 1 species
CUGACUGGCACUUGGAGAAGUGGCAAGGUCUUCCAGUAUGGGGAGCAAAACAGCUAUGGGUCAAGCUCCGAUAUCUUUAGGAGAAGUCUUAUUGUGAGGGCGAGUUAUAUAACACCAUAGGACUGGCCGUCCCAUAUGAAAAGAUUAUAUUAGAAUUGAAUGAAGCUUUGUUUAUAUAUUGAUAAUGACAGUAUAUAUAUCGUGUCUUGACUAAUUGCGUGCCAGCAGUCGCGGUAAUACGUAAGAGACUAGUGUUAUUCAUCUUAAUUAGGUUUAAAGGGUACCCAGACGGUCAAUAUAGCUUAUAAAAUGUUAGUACUUGACUAGAGUUUUAUGUAAGAGGGCAGUACUUGAGGAGGAGAGAUGAAAUUUCGUGAUACCAAAGGGACUCUGUAAAGGCGAAGGCAGCCCUCUAUGUAAAAACUGACGUUGAAGGACGAAGGCACAGAGAACAAACAGGAUUAGAUACCCAAGUAGUCUUUGCAGUAAAUGAUGAAUGCCAUAGGUUAGAUUGGUCAAUUAUAGUCUAGGGUUAGUCUAGCAAACUAAUACCCUAUGCUAUAAUCCUAAUAUCUGGUCUAUAAAUGAAAGUGUAAGCAUUUCACCUCAAGAGUAAUGUGGCAACGCAGGAACUGAAAUCACUAGACCGUUUCUGACACCAGUAGUGAAGUAUGUUAUUUAAUUCGAUAAUCCGCAA